CGGGGAAGGAAAUAAUUGGGGGAUUUUAUUAUUGAAAUAAGCAAGCAUGUUCAUGCAUAUUUUUACGGCGUGCAUGCCUAUGCGCCACCCUGUGCAAACAGUGCCAUUGCAGCUCGUGUGCGGUAAUUAGGUGGAUGUAAUUACGGUGAAGUAAAGGCAGCCUCACUGAUAAUUUCACAGUGAAUAUUAAAGACAUAUGUGCCUUCCAGUGUACAAUAAAUGAACCUGAACUGCUGUCAGGGGCUAGGAGGACAGUGUGGCCAAUGCACCUAUUGUGUCCCUGCUGCAGAAAGGAGCCUGCCGAUUGGCCACUGUCUGCAGCACAUAGCACUGGCUGGUUAUAAAGGACUUGUCUAGGGGAGAGCCUGUAGGUACUCCAUUGUCUGGUAAAGUUCAUAUGACUGCAUUCUUUUUUUGCAAGGGGGGUGGAGGGAGAGCGGGGAAGGAGGGGGUGUCAGCUCAACUGUAAAAGCUGCACAGAUUUGUUCUUUCUCUCUCUCUCUGCCUCUCCAUAGAUCGUUUCUGUUUCAUGCCCUGUCUCAUUUCGCAUAGCUAAAAAAUAAUGCUAAUUAAGAUCCCUUGUCUUAACCUGAAAAUAAUGACUCGGAUGUAAUUAGAAAUCUGGCGAGAGUUUAAAAUUCUGGUAGGGGACCAAAACCAUCAGUUACGGUGCUUAGGAGGGAAAUGAAGAAUUAUUUUUCUGUAAUCAAGGUAAACAUGGGAGAGGGGGGUUCCCCCCUAUCUUUUUUAACCAAUUUUAACCAAUGGUGUUCUACUGCCGAUGAGAGGAUACUGUAUUUCAAAAACUAUUUUAGCCAUCAAAUUGAAAGGACACAAAUCAGUAGCAAUAGAAGCCUUCUUAAUCCUCCUUAGGAUGCAAUUCAGAUGAAAGAACUGCUUUUUUUUUUUUUAUUUUCUUUUUGUAUGUGUGUGUUAUAGAUGGAUCUGAGAACGCUGUCUGGGCUUGGUGCCAAGCGCUGGUAUUUCAUAGCAGCGACCGCCUCACAGACGAGCUGUGGGAAGCAGGAGGGAGACUCUCUCUUAGGGUGCCACUACUAUGGAGACACAGCUGGGCUGAACAAGAUUUGCUUCAAACGACAACAAGAGAGACAGAAAGUAUCUGGUUCAACCGCUGCCCAAACAGGCAGGCACCAGAAGAGCUAGCAGCCAAUCCGGCCAUGCUCGAAGCCAGCUCUGCGGCUCAGCCAAUCAGUGACAUCACUGACAAUUUAGAAGUGUAUGUACACACUCCAAGCCAGAGAUCAAGGAGCCGUGAAGAUAUGUUCUGCAGCUGUCUCCCUUUGAAGUUCUUUGCUCUGACACUUCAGAUAACAAUGUAACUCCAGUUUCCAGAGAACCGAGCAGCCUGCUGUUCAAAGAAGAGGUGAAUAUCUUAGGUUGACAGGUUAACUUCAAGAAAGGUAAUCCUAAUAAAUAGAACUUAUGGAGCCA
rnacentral:lncRNA from 1 species